rnacentral:rRNA from 1 species
ACGACUACAUAUCAGGCAUAUCAAUAAGCGGAGGAAAAGAAACUAACUAGGAUUCCCUCAGUAACGGCGAGUGAAGCGGGAAGAGCUCAAAUUUGAAAUCUUCAAGGUUUUACCUUGACGAAUUGUAGUUUAAAGAAGUGUUUUCUGUUGGAGUUUUGGUAAAAGUUCUUUGGAAUAGGACAUCAUAGAGGGUGAGAAUCCCGUAUUUGACCAUUAUUUCCAACUUUGUGAUACACUUUCAAAGAGUCGGAUUGUUUGGGAAUGCAGUCCAAAAUGGGUGGUAAAUUUCAUCUAAAGCUAAGUAUUGGCGAGAGACCGAUAGCGAACGAGUACCGUGAGGGAAAGAUGAAAAGAACUUUGAAAAGAGAGUUAAACAGUACGUGAAAUUGUCAAAAGGGAAGCGUUUGACACCAGUGUUGUUUCUAGCGAAAAUCAAUUUAUGAUGGCUUGAUGCUAAGCUUUAAGACUUUAUCCGCUUGUUGUUUAGUUUUCUUGUCUUUGUGAAUGCACUUUUCGUGAACAAGUCAACAUCAAUUUCUUUUGCUGUAAAAGGGUAAGAGGAAGGUGGCUUCGGCUUCGGUUGAAGUGUUUAUAGCCUUUUAUCUCUGCAGUCGGAGAGAUUGAGGUCUGCAGCGUAGACUCUUCGGGGUUAGAUACGUCGGUGCUAAGCUAUAGCUUUUCAUAGACAACUUGUUGACUAUGUUUAGUCAUGUGGCUUACCCGCUGGCGCUAUUUUACCUACGCUUAGGAUGUUGACUGAUAUGUAGUCGUA